rnacentral:tRNA from 1 species
GGGGCUGUAGCUCAUCUGGGAGAGCACCUGCUUUGCAAGCAGGGGGUACGGGGUUCGAGUCCCCGCAGCUCCACCA